GGAGAUAUACCCAAGUUGGCCGAAGGGGCGCCCCUGCUAAGGGUGUAGGUCGGGAUACCGGCGCGAGAGUUCAAAUCUCUCUAUCUCCGCCA
rnacentral:tRNA from 2 species